rnacentral:rRNA from 1 species
UAAACGAUGUCGACUUGGAGGUUGUGGCUUCCGGAGCUAACGCGUUAAGUCGACCGCCUGGGGAGUACGGCCGCAAGGUUAAACUCAAAUGAAUUGACGGGGGCCCGCACAAGCGGUGGGCAGUGGUUUAAUUCGAUGCAACGCGAAGAACUUACCUGGUCUUGACAUCCAGGUGCUGCAUGGCUGUCGUCAGCUCGUGUUGUGAAAUGUUGGGUUAAGUCCCGCAACGAGCGCAACCCUUAUCCUUUGUUGCAACUCAAAGGAGACUGCCAGUGAUAAACUGGAGGAAGGUGGGGAUGACGUCAAGUCAUCAUGGCCCUUACGACCAGGGCUACACACGUGCUACAAUGGCGCAUACAAAGAGAAGCGACCUCGCGAGAGCAAGCGGACCUCAUAAAGUGCGUCGUAGUCCGGAUUGGAGUCUGCAACUCGACUCCAUGAAGUCGGAAUCGCUAGUAAUCGUGGAUCAGAUGCCACGGUGAAUACGUUCCCGGGCCUUGUACACACCGCCCGUCACACCAUGGGAGUGGGUUGCAAAAGAAGUAGGUUACCACUUUGUGAUUCAUGACUGGGGUGAAGUCGUAACAAGGUAACCGA